GACGAACGCUGGCGGCGUGCUUAACACAUGCAAGUCGAACGGAAAGGCCCUGCUUGCAGGGUACUCGAGUGGCGAACGGGUGAGUAACACGUGGGUGAUCUGCCCUGCACUUCGGGAUAAGCCUGGGAAACUGGGUCUAAUACCGGAUAGGAGCCAUUUUUAGUGUGAUGGUUGGAAAGUUUUUUCGGUGUAGGAUGAGCUCGCGGCCUAUCAGCUUGUUGGUGGGGUAAUGGCCUACCAAGGCGGCGACGGGUAGCCGGCCUGAGAGGGUGGACGGCCACAUUGGGACUGAGAGACGGCCCAGACGCCUACGGGAGGCAGCAGUGGGGAAUAUUGCACAAUGGGCGCCAGCCUGAUGCAGCGACGCCGCGUGGGGGAUGACGGCCUUCGGGUUGUAAACUCCUUUCGCUAGGGACGAAGCUUUUUGUGACGGUACCUAGAUAAGAAGCACCGGCUAACUACGUG
rnacentral:rRNA from 1 species